AGCUCCAAUAGCGUAUAUUAAUGUUGUUGUGGUUAAAAAGCUCGUAGUUGGAUAUCAUCAGUAAGUUUUCUGUUCAACUUGUGUUGUAAUAGGAAGUCUGACUGUCUGUCUGUUCAUUCUUAUCGGUGACUUUAAUCAGUUGUCGUUCUAAAGGAAGAACAAUUUUACUUUGAAAAAAUUAGGGUGCUCAAAGCAAGUUUAUCGCUUGAAUAGUUGUGCAUGGAAUAAUAGAAAAGGAAUUUGAUCUUUUUGUGUUGGUCUUAAAGAUAAAGUUAAUGAUAAAUGGGGACAGCCGGGGGCGUAUGUAUUCAGCCGACAGAGGUGAAAUUCUUGGACCGGCUGAAGACAAACUACUGCGAAAGCAUUCGCCAAGAGUGUUUUCAUUA
rnacentral:rRNA from 1 species